UACGUAGGGUGCAAGCGUUAAUCGGAAUUACUGGGCGUAAAGCGUGCGCAGGCGGUUAUGCAAGACAGAUGUGAAAUCCCCGGGCUCAACCUGGGAACUGCAUUUGUGACUGCAUGGCUAGAGUACGGUAGGGGGGGAUGGAAUUCCGCGUGUAGCAGUGAAAUGCGUAGAUAUGCGGAGGAACACCGAUGGCGAAGGCAAUCCCCUGGACCUGUACUGACGCUCAUGCACGAAAGCGUGGGGAGCAAACAGG
rnacentral:rRNA from 1 species